GGAUGUGGCUCAAGUGGUAGCACGCACGCCUGGGCAUGCGUGCGGCCCGGGUUCGAUCCUCAGCACCA
rnacentral:tRNA from 1 species